rnacentral:rRNA from 1 species
AUUGAACGCUGGCGGCAGGCCUAACACAUGCAAGUCGAGCGAGCGGCGGACGGGUGAGUAAUGUAUGGGGACUGCCCGAUAGAGGGGGAUAACUACUGGAAACGGUAGCUAAUACCGCAUACUAUCGGAUAACCCAUAUGGGAUUAGCUAGUAGGUGAGGUAAUGGCUCACCUAGGCGACGAUCCCUCGCGGGUCUGAGAGGAUGAUCAGCCACGCUGGGACGAAGACAGGGCCCAGACGCCUACGGAGGCAGCAGUGGGGAUUAUUGCACAAUGGGGGCAAGCCUGAGGCAGCCAUGCCGCGUGUAGGAAGAAGGCCCUAGGGUUGUAAAGUACUUUCAGUCGGGAGGCGUUACCGACAGAAGAAGCACCGGCUAACUCCGUGCCAGCAGCCGCGGUAAUA